CUCGGCUCGGCCGCUGGCGGGGCGGCGAGGGGCGCGCGGGUGCGCGUGCGGGCGCGGGGUGUGUGCCCGCGCCGUGCCCCCUGCGCGUGCUGCCAGGCGGGCGCCGGCGUGAGUCACGGCCCUGCUGCCUUUAUAACGGCCGCGAGGCGCGCGGAGCCGCCCGCCCGACCGCUGCUCCGCGUUCCGGCGAGCGCGCCCGGCCCGCGCCCCCAACGUCCCCCAACCGCCGGCCAGGCCCGAGGGCGCCAUGAGGAGCCCGCGCUGCGCCCCGCUGCUGCUCCUGCUGCUGCUGCCGCCGCUGCUGCUCACGCCCCCCGCCGGGGACGCCGCCGUCAUCACCGGGGCCUGCGACAAGGACCCCCAGUGUGGUGGAGGCAUGUGCUGCGCUGUUAGUAUCUGGGUUAAGAGCAUAAGGAUUUGCACACCUAUGGGCAAAGUGGGAGACAGCUGCCAUCCGCUGACUCGUAAACUCCACACUACAGUGACCUAAACAACGCUUUUGAAAAGUUAUUGACAAUGAGUGGCGUGACCGGACGAUGGCGGAUUGAAUGGGGCUCUAGCCGCUGGGUUGCGGGCUCUCCUGUCUGUAGGGGCCAGGCGCAUUUACGUGACCUCAGGCGGGGUGGGUUGGAGACAGGAGGGAGCAGAGAAGUCUGUGGACCCUGGAGAGUCCUUGCCCUUCAGAUUCACAACUUUUGAAACACAGUUUGAUGUCAGCAAAAUCUCCUGGGGAUGCCAGGUUGCAGCGUCUUGCUCUCCCAGUCCCACCUCCUGGUCUUACCCAGCAGGAAAGUGAAGUCCAGAGGCACCGAAGGAUGCGUCCGAGGCUGGGUGGCCGGUGGAGGCCCAGCUCAGUCUCUCUGCCACGUUCUCUCUACACAUUGUGUACUCUCAUUUUAAAAUAGACUGAAUAUUUUCAAAGCAAACUGAAUUCUACCUUCUGCCUUUUUUUUUCUCAUGUCAUAGAGUUUAAAACUGUGGUAGAGCCAGACAUCUUUCCUGUACUCCACAGUUGCAGAAAGCAGUUACUGUUUGGGCAUUGCUGGAAUGAACCUCAUGAAAUAAACUGGCUCAGGUUUAGUGCUAUGAGCUGUAAUAGGGACUCUGGUUGUUUGGACCCAUCUGAAGACUGAAUUUGGCUUUCCUGUGGUUUCCUUGAGAAAUACUUCCUGUUACGUGUAGACUGUGCCUCCCCAUGCUUUUACCACUCGAGACUAGACUGUCAUUUUUAAACAUGACAUGCACCUUCUAUUCUUGGCUGUUUUAGAACGGGAAAGGUUCUAAACCAUUAGUCGUCUGUCUCCAUGCCAAACUCCCCACAAGGAGGUGAAGCUGGCCCAGCCACCUUUGGCACUGAUCUCCAUUUUUUCAUCACCCUUAUCGAAUGUUCCAUUUUUUGGGCGGAGAAUGCAUCACACGUGUCCAUGUAUGCCGGGCUUAGCUUGUUUACGGACUUCGUUUAAUCGAUUUAUUUGUUUAGCCCGAAAGUAAUCACUUUGGAGUAGAAACUUGAAAUGUGAACAGCCGCACGAUGUCUGUAAAGUCUAUUUACUUGUGAUUGUGCCAAACAAGUAAGAUGCCAGAAAGAAAUGCUGUUGCUUCCUCAACUUUCCAAGUAACAGUUCUAGCUUUGAUUUUUAAAUGAUGGUUUUUUUAAAUUGAAAGAGGAUUUUAAUUUUGGACAGAAAUGUAAAGUGCAAGGCAUUAUGGAACCAGUUCUCGUUUCCCUGUUUGUGUUUUGGUUUGGUUUUGCUUUUUUUUUUUUUAAUGCCAAUAACUCACCCAUUUUCACAAAAAUGAGGAGAACAAGAAUUUGAUAUUUUGUUACAGAAACUUAUUUUUCCUUAAACCCCUGUCCCCAAGCCCUGGCCCCAGAUACACACACACACACACACAGCCCUUUGAGUCUCGUCUCUCACUCGUCAAGGAAUUUUAAGUCUGUCACUUUAUUCUUUGCCAUUUCCCUCUCUGACCUUCUAGCAUUUUAAAGUGUGCGCGUGGGGUCCAUGUCCUUUAACUUGCUGGCAGAAUCACUGACAAGAAUCAAGCUUUUUGCUUGAUACUUAAACAGUGGAAAGAGUCUAGUGGAACCAGCUGCUCCAGACUUCUCUUCUGUGGGGUGGAGGUUGGGGUGCUUCUGAAUUUCCACUGAACUUGCCUCUGAGAUGGACUUCAGGUCUGCUGUUUGACUGGGGGGAGGACAGGAGGCAUGGAAAGUCAAAUUAGUCCAGAUUUGUAGAUUUGGGGUUUUUUUUUUUUGAAGGCUUUUCUAAUACAAGAUUACUUUUAUUUCUCUUUCUCUUUAUAAAACUUUUUUUAAAGUCUCAUAGUUAGAGAUGUUCCAGAAAAUGUCACUUGAAGAGGAAGUAUUGAUUUUAAUCUGGCAUAACACUAGUUACCAUUUUUAAAUCGGUAUUACGUUGUAAUUUAAACUUUAUCUGUAACCAAAAGGUCUGUUGUAAUGGAUUGCCUGACAUCCUGCCAUUUGUACCUGUAUCAAUAUUGUGUAAAAAUUCUGUAUCAGAAUAAUGACAGUAUUGUAUAUCAUUUGAUUUAUUUUAAUAUUAUAUCCUUAUUUUUGUCACAGUUGUCGUCAGUUUUUAUUACAAGGAAACUCCUCUAUAGCUCACAUUCUAAAGUGGGUAAAGACUCCAAAGUUGGUAAAAUAGCACUAACGGCAUGUGCAUUUUCAUUUUACAUACAGGAAAGUUCUGUUUGCAUGAAUUUUAAGGUAGUACAAAAAAUAAACAGUGUGUAAAUCAGUGAGGUUUUGGAGCACAACGGAAAAUUAUGACAUGCAAAACUGACUGUAAUCAGGAAUGGACUCAUGGGAUUUCACUGUGUUGAUCUGGCCAAUAGUGCCGGAGUGUUUGUCAUGGUUAGGCAGGUGCUAGCCAAAAGGCGAUGCCCGUGUAGCCUGGCCUUGAAAAACCCACGGAGUAUUGUAAAUGAUUGAACGUCGCAAAUAAACAACUUAUGAAAUGCGUUCAACUGACUAAACUUGACCAUGCCAACCCACUAACUGUUUCCAAAAAAAAAAAAAACUGUCCAUUUGUAGUUCUUUACUCAGCCAGGGCUUACAAUUGUACAUUGUGUGUAACUUUACCCUUGGGGUUAACACGUCCCAUGAAUGUAUGGGAUUUUGCUGUGCUAAUUGCCAUACUUCAUCAUAGAAGUAUUAUUUUUGGUUCAGUUAGUUUGUUUUCAAGAAGCUUUCCUCAGCCCAAUGGUGUAGUGGUUGGGUUUGCGUUCUCCACUUCAGCAGACUGGGGUUCCCGGAUUUGGAUCCCGGGCAUGGACCUACACACUGCUCAUCGGCCAUGCUGUGGCAGAAACCCACAUACAAACUGGAGGAAGAUUGGCACAGAUGUUAGCUCAACGGCAGUCUUUCUCAAGCAAAAAGAGGAAGAUUUGCAACAAAGGUUAGCUCAAGCCCAAUCUUCCUCACCAAAAAAAAGAAAGAAACAUUCCUCAGUGAAUUUGUUGAAAAAAAAUUCAAGUGGAAUUGUGGGAAAAGAAACAGGCACUUCCAUAAUUUUGCUCAAUGUUGUUUUUAUAUAGUGUUUGAUACAUCCUUUUUCAUAAGUGGUGAAAACUUAAUAGGGUCAAUCAUCGAUUUUCACCCAAGUUAGAAAACAUAUAGCUAAUUUUUAUAAAAUUUUACUUUUACGGAUACCAA
rnacentral:lncRNA from 1 species